rnacentral:rRNA from 1 species
AUUGAACGCUGGCGGCAGGCCUAACACAUGCAAGUCGAGCGGGGUUUUCGGACCUAGCGGCGGACGGGUGAGUAAUGCGUAGGAAGCUACCCGAUAGAGGGGGAUACCAGUUGGAAACGACUGUUAAUACCGCAUAAUGUCUACGGACCAAAGUGUGGGACCUUCGGGCCACAUGCUAUCGGAUGUGCCUACGUGGGAUUAGCUAGUUGGUGAGGUAAUGGCUCACCAAGGGGACGAUACCUAGCCGGUUUGAGAGGAUGAUCAGCCACACUGGAACUGAGACACGGUCCAGACUCCUACGGGAGGCAGCAGUGGGGAAUAUUGGACAAUGGGCGCAAGCCUGAUCCAGCCAUGCCGCGUGUGUGAAGAAGGCCUUCGGGUUGUAAAGCACUUUCAGUAAGGAGGAAGCGUUGAGUGUUAAUAGUACUCAGCGUUGACGUUACUUACAGAAGAAGCACCGGCUAACUCUGUGCCAGCAGCCGCCGUAAUAC